UGCCUAAUACAUGCAAGUCGAACGCACAGCGAAAGGUGCUUGCACCUUUCAAGUGAGUGGCGAACGGGUGAGUAACACGUGGACAACCUGCCUCAAGGCUGGGGAUAACAUUUGGAAACAGAUGCUAAUACCGAAUAAAACUUAGUGUCGCAUGACACAAAGUUAAAAGGCGCUUCGGCGUCACCUAGAGAUGGAUCCGCGGUGCAUUAGUUAGUUGGUGGGGUAAAGGCCUACCAAGACAAUGAUGCAUAGCCGAGUUGAGAGACUGAUCGGCCACAUUGGGACUGAGACACGGCCCAAACUCCUACGGGAGGCUGCAGUAGGGAAUCUUCCACAAUGGGCGAAAGCCUGAUGGAGCAACGCCGCGUGUGUGAUGAAGGCUUUCGGGUCGUAAAGCACUGUUGUAUGGGAAGAACAGCUAGAAUAGGAAAUGAUUUUAGUUUGACGGUACCAUACCAGAAAGGGACGGCUAAAUACGUGCCAGCAG
rnacentral:rRNA from 1 species